rnacentral:rRNA from 1 species
UACGUAGGGGGGCUAGCGUUGUCCGGAAUCAUUGGGCGUAAAGCGCGUGUAGGCGGCUCGGUAAGUCCGCUGUGAAAGUCGGGGGGCUCAACCCUCGGAUGCCGGUGGAUACUGUCGGGCUAGAGUACGGAAGAGGCGAGUGGAAUUCCUGGUGUAGCGGUGAAAUGCGCAGAUAUCAGGAGGAACACCAAUUGCGAAGGCAGCUCGCUGGGACGUUACUGACGCUGAGACGCGAAAGCGUGGGGAGCAAACAGG